rnacentral:misc_RNA from 1 species
UUAAGUUCAGCGGGUAUCCCUACCUAAUCCGAGGUCAAUCAUUAAAAUUAGGGGGUUUUGGCGAGUGUCCACCGGGACCCUAGAGCGAGAGAUGUACUACGCUUAGAGCCAGACGGCACUGCCACUGAUUUUAGGGGCUGCCUUGACAGCAGGCCCCAACACCAAGCUGAGCUUGAGGGGUGAUAAUGACGCUCGAAUAG